CCUACGGGAGGCAGCAGUGGGGGAUAUUGCACAAUGGGGGAAACCCUGAUGCAGCGACGCCGCGUGAGUGAAGAAGGAUCUCGGUAUGUAAAGCUCUAUCAGCAGGGAAGAAAAUGACAGUACCUGACCAAGAAGCCCCGGCUAACUACGUUACAGCAGCCGAGGCUAUACGUAGGGGGCAACCGUUAUCCGGCUUUACUGGGUGUAAAGGGAGCGUAGACGGUUAUGGAAGUCUGGAGUGAAAGGCUGGGGCCCAACCCCGGGACUGCUGUGGAAACUGUGUAACUGGAGUACAGGAGGGGCAGGCGGAAUUCGUGGUGUAGCGGUGAAAUGCGUAGAUAUCAGGAGGAACACCGACGGCGAAGGCAGCCUGCUGGACUGAAACUGACGUUGAGGCUCGAAAGCGUGGGUAGCAAACAGGAUUAGAUACCCGUGUAGUC
rnacentral:rRNA from 1 species